rnacentral:lncRNA from 1 species
CCCCCGCUGACACUCGGGUGACAACCGGGUGACAACCGGGUCACCUCCCCCACCCCGUCCCCAAAGUCAACCCCAAAAAUCCCAAAACGACCCCAAAUCCCGCCGGGGGUUUUUUUAGGGAAUGCGGGCCGGGAAUAUUCCCGGGUGUUUUUCCCUUUUUCCCCCUCAUUCCCGGAUUUUUCCGUCCCCGUGAGGGGGGAGAGGGGAGAGCGGGGACGGGAACGGGGGGAAUCCCGGGGAAAAUUAAUUAUCCCGGGGAAAAUUAAUUAUCCUGAGGAAAAUUAAUUAUCCCGGGGAAAAUUAUCCCAAGGAAAAUUAUCCCAAGGAAAAUUAUCCCAAGGAAAAUUCCCGGCGGCGCCUCGGAGCUGGGGACACCAGGGGACACCAAUGUCCCCUCACAAGGGACACCAGGGGGACACCAGGGGACACCAAAGGACAUCAGGGGACAUCAGGGGACAUCAGGGGACACCAGGGGACACGAGACAUCAAGGGACGCCGGGGGACAUCAGGGGACAUUCAAGGGACACCAGGGGACAUCAGGGGACACCAGGGGACACGAAUGUCCCCUCACAAGAGACACCAGGGGGACACCAGGGGACACCAAUGUCCCCUCACAAGGGACACCAGGGGACAUCAGGGGGACACCAGGGGACAUCAGGGGGACAUCAAGGGACGCCGGGGGACAUCAGGGGACAUUCAAGGGACACCAGGGGACAUCAGGGGACACCAGGGGACACGAAUGUCCCCUCACAAGAGACACCAGGGGGACACCAGGGGACACCAAAGGACAUCAGGGGACACCAGGGGACACCAGGGGACAUCAGGGGGACACCAGGGGACACCAAUGUCCCCUCACAAGGGACACCAGGGGACACCAAAGGACAUCAGGGGACAUCAGGGGACAUCAGGGGACACCAGGGGACACGAAUGUCCCCUCACAAGGGACACCAGGGGACACCAGGGGACACCAAAGGACAUCAGGGGACACCAGGGGACACCAGGGGACAUCAGGGGGACACCAGGGGACACCAAUGUCCCCUCACAAGGGACACCAGGGGACACCAAAGGACACCAAAGGACACCAAAGGACACCAGGGGACACCAGGGAACAUCAGGGGGACACCAGGAGACAUCAAAGGACACCAAAGGACACCAGGGGACACCACAGGGACACCAGGGGACACGAAUGUCCCCUCACAAGGGACACCAGGGGACACCAAAGGACACCAGGGGACAUCAGGGGGACACCAGGAGACACCAGGGGACACCAGGGGACACAAAUGUCCCCUCACAAGGGACACCAGGGGGACACCAGGAGACAUCAAAGGACACCAGGGGACACCAAAGGACACCAGGAGACACCAGGGGACACCACGGGGACACCAGGGGACACGAAUGUCCCCUCACAAGAGACACCAGGGGACACCAGGCGACACCAAAGGACAUCAGGGGACACCAGGGGGACACCAGGGGACACCAGGGGACACCAGGGGACACCAGGGGACACCAAAGGACACCAGGGGACACCAGGGGACACCAAAGGACAGCAGGGGACACCAGGGGACACGAAUGUCCCCUCACAAGGGACACCAGGGGACACCAGGGGACACCACAGGGACACCAGGAGACAUGAAUGUCCCCUCACAAGGGACACCAGGGGACAUCAAAGGACACCAAAGGACAUCAGGGACACCAGGGGACACGAAUGUCCCCUCACAAGGGACACCAGGGGGACACCAAGGGACACCAGGGGACAUCAGGGCACACCAAUGUCCCCUCACAGGGGACACCAGGGGACAAUCAGGGGACACCAAAGGACAUCAGGGGACAUUCAAGGGACACCAAAGGACAUCAGGGGACACCAGGGACACCCAGGGGACACCACGGGAACACCAGGGGACACCAAUGUCCCCUCACAGGGGACACCAGGGGACACCAAAGGACAUCAGGGGACAUUCAAGGGACACGAAAGGCCACCAGGGGACAUCAGGGGACACCAGUGAACAUCAGGGGACAUCAGGGGACACCAAUGUCCCCUCACAAGGGACACCACGGGGACAUCAGAGGACACCAGGGGACAUCAGGGGACACCAGGGGACACCAAAGGACACCAGGGGACAUCAGGGCACACCAAUGUCCCCUCACAGGGGACACCAGGGGACAAUCAGGGGACACCAAAGGACAUCAGGGGACACCAGGGGACACCAAAGGACACCAGGGGACAUCAGGGCACACCAAUGUCCCCUCACGAGGGACACCAGGGACAAUCCCAUCCCCC